GACGAACGCUGGCGGCGUGCCUAAUACAUGCAAGUAGAACGCAGUUGCGAACGGGUUAGUAACGCGUAGGUAACUGCCUGGCAGCGGGGGAUAACUAUUGGAAACGAUAGCUAAUACCGCAUACCACCAGCUGGAUCUGCGUUGUAGUAGCUAGUUGGUGGGGUAACGGCUCACCAAGGCAACGAUACAUAGCCGACAUGAGAGGGUGAUCGGCCACACUGGGACGGAGACACGGCCCAGACUCCUACGGGAGGCAGCAGUAGGGAAUCUUCGUCAAUGGGCGGAAGUCUGACCGAGCAACGCCGCGUGGGUGAAGAAGGUUUUCGGCUCGUAAAGCUCUGUUGUAAGGGAUGCGGUAUCUUACCAGAAAGGGACGGCUAACUACGUGCCAGCGGCCGCGUAAUAC
rnacentral:rRNA from 1 species